CCUACGGGUGGCAGCAGUGGGGAAUAUUGGGCAAUGGGCGCAAGCCUGACCCAGCAACGCCGCGUGAAGGAAGAAGGCUUUCGGGUUGUAAACUUCUUUUAAGAGGGAAGAGCAGAAGACGGUACCUCUUGAAUAAGCCACGGCUAACUACGUGCCAGCAGCCGCGGUAAUACGUAGGUGGCAAGCGUUGUCCGGAUUUACUGGGUGUAAAGGGCGUGCAGCCGGGAAGACAAGUCAGAUGUGAAAUCCCGCGGCUCAACCGCGGAACUGCAUUUGAAACUGUUUUUCUUGAGUACCGGAGAGGUCAUCGGAAUUCCUUGUGUAGCGGUGAAAUGCGUAGAUAUCAGGAGGAACAUCGGUGGCGUAAGCGCUUUACUGGGCCGUAAUUGACACUGAGGAACGAAAGCCGGGGUAGCAAAUGGGAUUAGAUACCCUUGUAGUC
rnacentral:rRNA from 1 species